AAUUGAUUGCAUUCUAACUCACUGAGUGUGGCAAUUUAUUUCUGCGAAAUGAGUUUGUCUUAUCAUUCAAUUUGGUUUAUUCGAAUUUUCUCGUUAAAGGAUCUUAUUUUAAAAUCUUUUCAAGGUUUCGACAUUAAGACAUUAAGCAAUCAAUUCAGGUACCAAUUUUGGGCGUUAUGAGGGUGUUAACACUUCCUCAUACGUAACCGACUCCCG
rnacentral:lncRNA from 1 species